rnacentral:lncRNA from 1 species
UGUUUUUCUGUGUGGUAAACUGAUUUUGUCUUUGUGGAGGAUCCUGAAAAUCAUCAUCUGAAUCAAUGUCAUCUUCAUUAUGACUAGCAGAUCCAGGAACAAGCUUCUUCGGUAUAUGAAAAGCUGAAAUCUCCUUUCUUGUUGGCUCGAUAUUCUUAAAAACAACCUACAAUUUAAAUAACAUAAUAAAAAUAAUAAUUUAGAUGGUAAAAUUAAUAACAUUAUAAAUCAGUUAACCAUGAUCCAAACCCAAUAAUGAAUAUACACUAACAAAUGGUAUGUUGUAUAUAUACAUAUACCAGAUCUGAAAAUACAUUUACAAAAUAAUCAACAUCACAUACAAAAAAAAAUCGUAAAACUAACCUUGUCAUCUGUAUCAUCAAACAUACUUUCCAUAAGAGUUUCAUAUUUUGGACGAGGAGAAUUUGUCUUCCAAUUCAAAAUACAAGGGAUUUGAGAAUCCACCUUGGAAGCAACAUUACGAGGCAUGUUUGAACAACACUCGUACAACCAAAUUUGAAUGACCAGUGACAUUCCAAGAAGCAUAUAGAACUUUCCUUUCGGCUUCAAUUUUUUAUGCAAACUUCUUGCUAAUUCUUCAAAUGCAACCGAUCCCCACAGAUAAUCACUGUAGCGACCACUCUCAACCAAAUCAAAGUGGAGGCGUGAAAUAGCUACGGUAUCAACUGAUGAUAGUAAGAAUGCGUGAAUAAAAUACAAAUUGGUAAACUUUAACACAUCUUCAUCGUUAUCAUUCACCUAAAUUUUGUCAAAAAUAGCAGCAUAUAAAUUCUUUUCUGUACAAAACUCUCACCAUCAAAAUAUUGAUCAAUAAUUUUAUUUAGGCGCUCCUCGUCAAACACAAAUUCAUCCUUAUUUGUAGCACAAUUGAAACCAGUCACCAAAGCAAACUCUCUAAUAAUGAAAUGAAGAAUUGUGCCCUUUGCUUGAAUGACUAUGGCACUUGUAGAACUUUCUCUAGUUUCAAGUGACAUAAUGCAUCUCCCUAACUGGGCUUGAACUACACAAUUUUUCUUCUUUAUUAAGAAACCAAAUAUACUUUUAGUACAAAACAUCUUGUACUGACUCUUCGUCAACAUUGUCUUAAUACGGUUUUCAAUGUCAUUGACUGUAUGACAUUCUAUAUAAGGAGCAAAUUUGUACAAUACCCGGGCCAUAAAUAUUUGAUCACGAAUGACCUAAACAACAAAAAAAUACAUUUAUAUGACAAAACUGUCUCUUAUAUGUAUUUAUGAAAUACAUCUUAAAACUAGUUUAUACAAAUUGUCUUAUAUGUAUUUAUGAAAUACAUCUUAUAGUUAUUUUAUAAGAUGUAUAAUAACAAAUACAACUAUGUAUGUAAAAAAUAUAUUUCAACAAAUAAGAAAUACAUAUCACAUUAAAAAUCUAAUGACUACCAAAUACAACUUAACAUCGAAUAAAAAUCUUAGAGGUAACAUAAAAACACAUAUCUAAACUGUAUGUAUUUUCAUAAUACACAUUAGAAUUAUAUUUCAACAAACAAAUUAUGUAUUUUGUGAAUACAUGAUUUGUACAAAUUUAAUUAACAAGACAAGAAUAUAACAACACAUAUACAAAUUAUAUAACAAAUGUAUUUUAAUAAUACAUAUUAAAAACAUUCUUUUAUAUGUAUUUAUAAAAUAUGAAGGGAAGUAAAUUGGUAAAGAAAAGUAAAAGAAGUGAUGUGAUAUCACGCGCUUUACAAAAAAAAAAUAUUGUUAUUUUUGUUAUAAGUUGUAGUUUUACCAAACUAUUGUUAUUUUUUGUAAUUAAAGUAUUAAGGUUGCUAGUUUAUACAUCUUAAAACUAGUUUAUACAAAUUGUCUUAUAUGUAUUUAUGAAAUACAUCUUAUAGUUAUUUUAUAAGAUGUAUAAUAACAAAUACAACUAUGUAUGUAAAAAAUAUAUUUCAACAAAUAAGAAAUACAUAUCACAUUAAAAAUCUAAUGACUACCAAAUACAACUUAACAUCAAAUAAAAAUCUUAGAGGUAAACCUAAAAACACAUAUCUAACCUGUAUGUAUUUUCAGAAUACAUAUUAGAAUUAUAUUUCAACAAACACAUAUGUAUUUUAUGAAUACAUGAUUAUUACAAAUUUAAUUAAAAAGAAAAUAAUAUAACAACACAUAUACAAAUUAUAUAACAUAUGUAUUUUCAGAAUAUAUAUUACACUUCUACAGUUUCUAUUUCAGCCAUUUUCCCAAAAGAAUAUAUAUAUAUACAGAAACCUAAUAAAUACAAAUAUCUUACACAAAAUUUAGAUAUGAAAUACAUAUUUAAAAUAUAUUGUAUAUAGCAUAUACAAUUCAUAUCAAUAACAAGAUUUUCGAAUAGUACCAUACCUCCUCCACUUUCUCUUAUUCAGAUUCAGAAUCUGAUGCAAUGGGACUUGCAAUUUUACUAUAUUCUCCUUUUUCAUCCGACUUUUUCCUUUUCACUGAUUUUUGAAAUUUUGUGGGAGAUAAAGUUUUUGUCAAUCCUUUCCUUUUCAUUAUUUCCACAAUCUUUUCGGAAUCGUUACAGUGCUCAGAUCUCAACUCUUCAAUGGUAACACCUUCAUUAGAGAAAACAUUAGUAGAACCCAAAUUAAAAACUUCAUCUUGUAUUAAACCAAGAUUAAACGAUGGUACUUCAUCGGUAAGUAAAUUCUUCAGUUGAUUUUCUCUAACUGAACAACUUCAAUUUGUAUGUUGAGCCAUUAUAAAUUUUAACAGAAAAAAAAAAUUGAUCCGAAACAGAGAAUUUUCGCAGAACUAAUAUUGAAGAAAAUGGGAACACUAAACACAUUAACAAAAAUUAAAUGAAAAAAAGUAACAUGCAUUAACUGAAAGAAAUACUUACCUUAAAAAGUGGGUAAGAUCUUUAUCAAGAUCUUGAGAGAGAUAUGCGGAAAUUGAAGAGAAAAAAAAGAAACGAAAGUUGGAGAGAAGUAAAUUGAUAAAGUUGAGUAAAAGUAGGAAUGUGAAAAGUUUGAGGUGAUAUCACGCGCUUUUCAAAAAAAAAAAAUAUUAUUAUUAUUGUUAUAAGUUGUAAUUUUAUCAAACUAUUGUUAUUUCUUGUAAUUAAAGUCUUAAGGUUGUUAGUUUAUGUAAUUUUUCCUAAAUAAAAUGAUGACAUCUUAGGGAGUUUACCUAGAUUAGUUUAUUUACCAGUUAGUUAAUACAAAUAAACAAAGAUUAAGUUACAAAAAAUGAAUACAAGAAUGGAAGUAGAGAUUUGGGCCCCUUUUUAGCCCAUUCUCAAAUCUGGACAUCAUUGGUUUUGGGUCUAUUUAAAUGGCCCUUUUUAACCCUCUUUCAGCUGUGUAUAUCAGAUGUAUAUCACAGCUGAAUGUCUACACUUUUUUCUGUAUAAUUGACGUAUACGUGACUAAAAAUCAGUCACAUACGGCCCCUUUGAUCCUCCAGAUGACUCAACAGUUAGGGACAAAUUGGGAGUGCUUAUCUCUACAUAAAAUAUUAUCAUUAUAAUUUGCUUAAGAGAAAUCAAGAAAUACCAAUAAAACUAUUGUUUGUGACUGAUGUAUUAUUUGCAUCUAAAAAUUUAUACCGAUAAUACUACAUCCCAGACCUUAACUCCAAAAAAAAAAAACAAAGAGAAAAUGAUAACGACUUCAUCCUCUCCUACUUUCGCAUUAUACCAUAAUAGUAUGUGUUUUAAGCCACAUUCAUUUAAACAUGAUAAAGAACUUCGUUCACCCACAAAAUCUUACCAAAAUUCACAAUAUACCCAUACACAAUAACAACAACAAACGCUACAACAGCGUACAACAUGAAGGUUAACAGACAAAAACGUUAACAGCAAAAUAAACAACGCCAAAUAACGCACAGCAGCAACGGCACACAGCCCUCACGACACCAAAUUUCAUUGCACAUAAAUCUUAUGUCCCUUGAGUCUCUACAGCAAACAAUCCCAGCAACAUUAUUAUUACGAUAACGCUAACAAAGAAAUAAUUACGAUAAAAGAAACCGAAAGAGAAUGAUGUUUACCUUUCCCCGGGCAGCGAAUCAGAACAGCGAGUCGAUGACGACUUCCAAUCGGAGUUUAAAUUUCAAAUUUUUGGAAUUUAAUUUCCGUCGGAAUUGAGUUUUUGAGUACGUUUCUUCAAGAAUCUUAUGGGUUACAUAGGAUUAAAAGCACGCGCCUCAUGAAUCCUCAAUUUUUCCUCCAAAAAAUCCUCCUUCCUUCACUCUACGGACAUGGGUAUUUAUAGGGGAUUUGACAGACUUUGGGGGAAACUGAGGGGUAAAAAGGGAAAAAUGAAUUGAUAUUUGAAUUUUAAAAAUUGAGAUGAGGUUGCUGAGCUGCUUUUGCCAUUGUUGUACUGUUGUUGCGUUUAUAUUGUUUCUGUUAUCGCAGUUGUCGUUGAAAGUUGUUGUUGUCAUUUGUGUUGAAAUUGUUGUUCUGGAUUGCUGACUGCUGUUGAAGUUGGAAUUGUUUUGCGUUGAUGGUUUGCUGAAACUGGUGUUGGAUGGGUCGGGUUUUGUCCGUUGAAAUUGUUGUUCUUGAAAUUGUUGGCUGUUAUUGUUGGUUUUUGUAGGCUGAGGGGAUAUAAGGGGAAAGGGAAC